GACGAACGCUGGCGGCGUGCUUAACACAUGCAAGUCGAGCGGUAAGGCCCUUUCGGGGGGUACACGAGCGGCGAACGGGUGAGUAACACGUGGGUGACCUGCCCUCAGCUCUGGGAUAAGCCUGGGAAACUGGGUCUAAUACUGGAUAUGACUCCACGGUGCAUGUCGUGGGGUGGAAAGCCUUGUGCGGCUGAGGAUGGGCCCGCGGCCUAUCAGCUUGUUGGUGGGGUGAUGGCCUACCAAGGCGACGACGGGUAGCCGGCCUGAGAGGGCGACCGGGCCACACUGGGACUGAGACACGGCCCUGACUCCUACGGGAGGCACCAGUGGGGAAUCUUGCGCAAUGGGCGAAAGCCUGACGCAGUGACGCCGCGUGAGGGAUGACGGCC
rnacentral:rRNA from 1 species